GGGUUGUUUGUUGCCGUUGUCUGUUUUGUUUCAUUAACCUAGCAACGAUCACUCCUCUGGCGGUGAGGAGAACUUGGAUUUUAGGUGUGACCUGGGAAUGUUGAGUGGAGUAUGGACAAGGCAUCUUUCCACCUUUAUUUAUUAACGUUGCUUGGUGUUUGAACCAUCAUGUGUAUCUUUUGCCUUGAGCAUUUUACCUUGGUGAGCAUGUGGGUAGUUUCCAGUUUGACUUCUAUCAGACAGACCUGUAAGAAACACUGUGUGAGGCAAGCCUACUCAAUGUUCAUGCACGAUUGACUUGCUAAAGUAGAUGUGUUUUAAGGAACUUUUUCUUAGUAAUAACUUUAUUGAAAUCUCUUCUAUAUACUAUGCAUGCCACUCAGUUGAAAUGUAGAAUAAAUCAAAACUUAAAUAGUUUUCUAACUUUAUAAAGAAAUCCUGGUCUCAUCAGCUCCCCUUACUUCCAUCCGCUCCAUGCCAACAACUCAUAUAAAUAGAAUUAUAUGGCACUGGUGUUUGUAUCAAAUUUCCCUCACUUUGAACAGUGUUUUCCUAUACCAGUUCUUUCCUUAUAUUGAUGAGCAAGUGAUAUUGCAGGGUAUGGUGAGCCAUACAUCUUUAUCAAUCAUCAAUUGCUGGACAUUUGAAAUAGCUACCUGACUGUUAGGAGUAAUGCUGUCAGGGACACCUACGUGCAAGGUUUUGUGAAAGCAUGUGUUUUUAAUCCUGGAUAAUACUUUAACUCAGAAGAUUUACCAUUUUUAGGAAUAUCUGUUUAACAAUUUAUGGCAACUUUGUCCCUAAAAUAUCAAUAUAUCUUUCUGACUGUAGACUUGUGUUUUCUCUGUAUCCUGGUGAUGACUGAACACUGUCCAUCUUUAAAAGUUAGUCAGCUUUUGACAAGGGAUUACACAUUCUAAUUGACAUUUGUUCUGCGUCCUAAUGAACCUGAGCUCAGGCCUUUGCUCACGUGUAAGCCUGCAGCUGUGCUGUCCUCUGGGAACUGCCUCUGCUCAUCAUCUGCUGUUGUAGGCGGAGGGCUGGCUUACCACAGUGUCUGAGGCUCUGGAAGUCCUUUAGUUCUUUACAAUUCAGGGCAUCUCUCCCAACCUUUUCUUUUUUUUUUUUUUUCUCUCUCUCUCUCUUUUUAUUAGGUAUUUCCCUCGUUUACACUUCCAAUGCUAUCCCAAAAGUCCCCCAUACCCACCCCCCCACCCCCUAUCCCAACCUUUUCUUAAGUAAAUUUUGUUUAGUGAUAUCUUUUCUUCCCAAGGGUUUCACUUCUAUAAUAUUCAAUCAUUUGAACUUUUUUGUCAGUUAGGAUUUGGUUGCUCUUCCCCCAUAUCAACUCCCCAGAUAAAACUAAUACUUUCUAGUAUUUUCUUCAAAUGUCUAAUAUUUUCUUAUGUCUUGUCCAUUCAUCAUUUUUAUACAUUUAUUUGAUGAUUCAUUGUAAGCAAUAGUUGAUGGUCAUUAGCUUAAAGAUAAGUGGAAAAUAUGGAAAUGUAAACUCUAAGGAAUAUGAUCAUUUCUAUAACUAAGUAAUAUCAUUUUAAAUUAUGAUUUAUCAGAACUAGUAAAUCAGAAAUGCUGCUGUCCUGAAAUUGUACUACUUCUACAACACAUUAGCUAGAGCCAGAUUGUUAGGUAAAGUUAGUAUCCUAGUUAAAUCCACAUUUGAGAUAAUCGGUCAUUCUGUAGUGUAAGUGUGCAUGUAUGCUUAACUUGAACAGGAUUGUAUAUUUCAAACAACAUCCAGAAUAUAAAUGUAAAUGAUAUGCUGGUUAGUUUUUAUUGUCAGCUUGACACAACCUAGCCUCACCUAGGAAGAGACAACUUUGGUUAACUAAGGAACAGUCCAAAUCAGGUUGGCUUACAUGAUAGUUUAAGUGAGGAUGACCCUCAGGCUCAGAGAUUAGCUUGUUUAGCUACCAGCUGGUGAACGGUUUGAGAGGGAGUAGAAGGAUUAGGAGCUGUGGCCUUGUUGGAGUUGGUGUGGCCUUGGAGGAAAAUUUCAGUAAAAAGUAACAAGUUUAAGAAGUCUAUUGUAAAACUGACUGUAGGUAAUGACUAGUCUCUACUUGAAAACUACCGAGAAUAGACUAAGUAUUGUCGUCUCUCAAAUAUGUAUAUGAGGCAAAAAGUUUUCAAAUAUCUACAAUGAUCCAUUUAAAAUAUGCUACUAAAUUCAGGAAAUGAGGCUCCAUCUGUCUUGGUGAUGAAGUGCACAGAUCUGGUCAAGAACCACGCUCAAGUAUCUGGCUUAGGUGAUAUUUCUUUCUCUCUCUUUCUCUUUUCUCCUGGUUUUUUGAAAAAGAUGAAUAUUUCAGGUUAUGUUGUAUAGUAUAUAUACAACGUUUAUUUUGAAUUAUAGAUAAAAUUGUAUAUUACCUUUUGGUAAAAAAAAAAGUUUUAUUUCUUUGCCAUCAAACUAAAUAGUAGCCGGGCGUGGUGGCGCACGCCUUUAAUCCCAGCACUUGGGAGGCAAGGCAGAAGCAGGCAGAUUUCUGAGUUCGAGGUCAGCCUGAUCUACAAAGUGAGUUCCGGGACAGCCAGGACUACACAGAGCAACCCUGUCUCGAAAAACCAAAACCAAACCAAACCAAACAAAC
rnacentral:lncRNA from 1 species